ACUCCACCAUUUUAUUGCUGUGUGGUGGACAAACGAUGGUUGUUGGAGUCAGAUGGACUCAGGUUUGGAGCCAAAUCCUGCUUCUUGCUGGCUGGGUAACUGGGAGGAAGCUCCCAGGCGUGCUCUGGGCGGUGCGGGGACGGGGGCCGGCUGCCCAGCGCGGACGGGGUUCCUGGCUGCAAGUGCCCAGCUUUCCUGGCAGACGGUGUCAUUCGGCCUCAGGCAGCUCAAAGGCCGGAGCAGUGAGGCGGUGUCGCAAUGAACUGACUUUAGGCCAGUGAGAUGUGGGAGGAGUGAUGGAGCCACUUGCAGGCCUGGACCAUAUAGACCUCCCAUGUGAUCCUUGCCCACCUUUUCCCCAUUUUCUGGGUGGAUGUUGAAGUAGCCUUGAAAGGCACCUGUUGAAGAUAACAGAACUGGCAGCCUGAGACUCUGAAUGACCAUAUGGAAGAGUCCCACCCCCACCCCCACUGCCCAAUGGCCUUCAUGUGAGCAAGAAAUAAACUUCUGUUGU